ACAAGUCCGGUCUUAACGAUUUGGGAUUAGCAAUAUUUCCAUUGAUUUCAACUAAAGUUUACUCGUCAUUUCCUCAGUGGAAAGUCUUUUUAAUAACAAAUUUUCGACGAAGCUAGUUUCUUAGCAGACCUGAAUAAUUAGUUUGAAGUAUAAUUUCAUUUCAUUCAUAGACGUUGCCUGGUAUCGCGGCGUCUUUAUAUUUACAAACAAUAUUGUCGGAAUAUACGUAUAAUAUAUAUCGCGACACACGACCGUGUUUAUCUUAUUGAAGUACAUUUUGUACAGAUUUUUCGUGCACAUCAUAUGUACACAGACGAUUUGCACUUGGCGAUGAUUCACGGUAUGUCAUAGAACAAUGAACGAAAGAAGUAUUAUAACAAUAACGAUUGUUUCAACGUGUUGUUUUGUUGUGCUCUUGGUUGCUUUAAUAUUGAUGAUUCUCGUUCUUCGGAAAAGAUGCAAGAAAUCAAAAGCUGCAACACAAGAAACAGACCGAGGGUCAGCGGUAUUAGAAGAAGGACUCACUAAUCUUGGUGUAGACGGAGACGGAUUAGUUUCAGCGACAAAACAACGUAAUCCUGAAAACAGACAUAAUUCUCAAAAAAUGGAUCGAAAGUUCGAGGAAAUAUUAGACAAUGCUUAUUCUGACGCAAGACAGUUUGCAAAGUUCCCUCAUUUGCCAUAAACAGUGAUCAAAAAAUAUUUUGUUGUGUUUCAGGCUAUAUUUAUUGCAUCAACUUCCUGACGCUUCAUUGAAGAUAAUGAUAAUUUGAUGACAAUGUAAUGUACGAUCCGAACUAUAAUCUAAUUGAUAAUCGGCAGUGGCGUAACGGACGUAUGGUCGGGUUAGGACAAGAACUAAGAGAGGGCCCCCAUUGAUUGUCGUCUAUCACCACGAUUGUUAAAGAAAAACGGCGUGUCAGUGUGUGGCAUAAAAAAGUCAGGUUAAAAACAAAUUGUUAUGCCAAAGAUAGGCCUAGGGUAUGAGGUUGAUUGCAAAGGAAAAUGCAGCAUUAAUGAUGGUAGAUUAAAUAAUAAAGUAUCCAUCGACCAUGGCUGAAUUCUCUAUUCUAUUAUCCAUGUUCUAUUAAUUCUAUAACUAAUGAAGUAAUACACUAAUGUAAAUUUACAAGUUUCAGCUCUCAAAUUAUUUUUCAAGUGAAAACAUGACAAACAGCUAGGGCCCCCACAACAAAUAUACCUAAGGGCACCAUUUUCAUCCGUUACGCCACUGAUAAUCGGACAGAAAUUAUUUAAUAUGACGGAAUAUUCAAACUAUGUACAGAGAUGGUAUCCUUUUCGUUGAUUUUUCAUGUAAACAACAUGAAAGAAAGUACAAUAACAAAUGCUUUCCUGAAUUAGGAAAGAUCAUCAAAAUACAAAAGCGAUAAAAGAUAUUUGAUUCAAAUAGACCUCGAAAAUGAUAUCAUGUGUACAUAGCCUUUGUUAUAUGUAAAAUACAGAACUUUACGUGCAGAUAACGAUUUUCAAAUGGAAAUGAUAAAUUGAUGA